AACUUAGAAGAACCUCUUCUAAGAGGUUGUGAGAGUGGUGCAUCCUUAUCCCGUGUUUUUAUCAGGAAGGGUUUCAGUUUUCCACUUUGAAGGGUUUGUCGUAAAUGGCUUUUGUUAUGUUGAGAUAUGUUCUCCUUAUACCCAUUUUUUAAGGGUUUUUUUUUAUCAUGAAUGGAUAUUGAAUUUUAUCAAAUGCUUUUUUUUCAUGUAUUAAGAUAAUCAGUUUUUGUCUUUUAUUUAUGUGGUGUAUUACAUUGAUUAAUUUGCAUAUGUUGAACCAUCCUUGUAAACCUGGUAUGACUCCAGCUUGGUCAUGUGUGUGUUAGAUUCAGUUUGCUUAUAUUUUGUCCAGAAUAUUUUUGUAACAAUUUCAUUGAUGUCUUUAAUUUUCUUUUGUGGUGACCGUGGUUUUGGUAUCAGGGUGAUUGAUGUUUCUGUGGUUUUUUGUUUUCUUUUUUGUUUUGUUUUGUUUUGUUUUGUUUUUGUUUUUGUUUUUUUUUUCUUGCAUUGUCAAUUGAGAUUUUGUAUUUUGUUUAUUUGGGUUCUCUCUCAUUUCUUUCAUGAGCCUACCAGAGGUUUGUCAUUUUGUUUACCAUUUCAAAAUCCAAGAAUCUUGGUUAUUUUCAUUUGUUUUUGACUGUUUUAUUUCCUCUGAUCAUUAUUACCUCCUUCCUUUUGCAAAAUUUAGGUUUUGUUCUUUUUCUAAUUGUUUUAGAUGGUGGGUUAGAUUGUUUAAGAUUUUUUUCUUGUUUCGUAAAGAAGGUUUGUAUUGCUGUGAACUUCAAAGAACUGCCUUUGCUGCAUGCCAUAGAUUUUGAAUGACUUGUGUUUUCAUUCGUCUCAUAGUAUUUUUAAAUUUCCUCUUUGAUUUCCUCAUUGACUUAAUGGUUUUUUUAGUAGUAUGGUAUUUAGUUUCCAUGUAUUUUUUUUCUCUCAUCUUUUUUUGUGGUUGAUUUCUAAAUUUCAUGCUGAUUGGGUCAGAGAAGAUGGUUGAAAUAAAUGCCAUACUCUUUAAUAUGUUGAGGCUUAUUUUAAUGCCUUAGUAUGUGUUCAGUCCUAGAGAACAUUCCAGAUGCACUUGAAAAUAAUUUUUUGGGUGUAAUGACCUAAAAGUGUCUGUUAACUAACUGCUCUCUUGUUAUCAUUUAGGAUCUCCAUGGCCUCAUGGUUUUCUGUGUAGAUCUGUGCAUUGACGUUUCUACUGUUAGUAUAUUCCCAUCAUUUUCUCCCUUUAUGUCUGUUAGUGUCUGUUUCAAGCAUGUUGGUUGCUCAUAUGUUAAGUGUAUAUAUGGUAAUGAGUGUAAUAUCCUCUUAAAUUGAUCCCUUUAUCAUUAAAUAGUGUUUCUCUUUCUUUAUGGCCUUUGUUUUAAAGUCUGUUUUGUGUAGUAUGAGUACUUUGACUUUCUUGACAUUUCCAUUUGCAUGAAAUAUCGUUUUUUCAUCCUCUCAUUUUCAGUCUCUGUGUGUCCCUUCAACCUAAAAUGGGAUACUAUAGGUUCUUGGCUCUUGUUUCUUUUUUCUUUUCUUUUCUUUUCUUUUGGUCUUUUCAGGGCCACAGCCAUGGCACAUGAAGGUUCCCAGGCUGGGAGUCAAAUCAGAGAUACAGCUGCCUACCUACACCACAGCCACAGCAAUGCGGGAUCCAAAUUGUGUCUGUGGUCUUCACCACAGCUCAUGGUGAAGCCAGAUCCUUAACCCACUGAGCAAGGCUAGGGAUCGAACCUAUGUCAUCAUGGAUACUAGUCCAGUUCCUUAACUGCUAAGCCACAACGGGGACUCUUCUUGUUUGUUUUAUCCAGUCUGUCUUUUGAUUGGAACAUUCAGUCCAUUGACAUUUAAGGUAAUUUUGAAUAGAAAUGUAUUUAUUGCCACUUUAAAUCUUGUUUUAUUUAUUUAUUUAUUUAUUUAUUUAUUUUUGCCUUUUCUAGGACUUCUCCCACGGCAUAUGGAGUUCCCAGGCUAGGGAUCUAAUCAGAGCUGUGGCCACCAGCCUACACCACAGACACAGCAACACAGGAUCGGAGCUGUGUCUGCAACCUACACCACAGCUCACGGCAAUGCCAGAUCCCUAACCCACUGAGCAAGGCUAGGGAUCGAACCCGCAACUUCAUGGUUCCUAGCCAGAUUCGUUAACCACUGAGCCAUGACGGGAACUCCUUGUUUAAAUUUUUGAUAUCAUAUUUCUUCUUUAUUUUUUCUUUGCUUUUCUUUUUAUGGUUUGAUUAUUUUCUUUUGUAUUGUUUGUGACUUUAUUUUAUUUUUUAUUUUAUUUUAUUUUUUGUCUUUUUAGGGCCACUCCCAUGGCAUAUGAAAAUUCUCAGGCUAGGGCUCAAAUUAAAGCUGUAGCUGCCAGCCUACACCACAGCCACAGCAACACAUCUUUAUUUUUUGUAAAUCUGUUGUAUGUUUCUGAUUUACUGUAGUUACUGUCUUUUUCAAGAACAUUAAACCUUUCCUAAAACUCCUUGUCUUAUUGUGGUAGUCAUGUAGGCUCAAAUGCAUUCUGGGGGAAGGAAAAUAAAAUUCUACAUUCUUAUACUCUCCCCUUCAAUAUUAUAAAUUUUGAUGUUCUCAUUUACAUCUUUAUGUUCAUCCUUUUGCUGUUGUUAUCAUUGCUUUCACAGAACUUUUUUUUUUUUUUUUAAUUGUGUAGUGGCUUAUUUAAGUGAUCUACUCUCACACGUUGAUUUUCUUUUUCCUUUGGACUUCUGCUUCCUUUAUAUUUAGGGAAGACCUUUGAAUAUUUCCUUUAGGAUAGGUUUAGUUUUGCUGUAUUUCUUUACUUUGAGAAAUUCUUUAUCUCUCCUUCUAUUCUAAAGGAUAAUCUUUCUGGCUAAAUGGGUAGUGUAUCCUCAGUUGGAAGUUUUUAUCUUCCAGGACUUUCACUGUAUCUUUCCACUCCCUUGUAGUCUGAUGUUUCUGUAGAGAAAAAAAGCUGAUAGCUUUAUGGUAGCCUUGAGAUUAACUUCUGUUUUUCUCUUGCUGCCUUUAGAAUCCUGUCUUUAACUUCACCAUUUUAAUUACAGUAUGUCCUGGUGUGGGUCUAUUUGGGUUCCUUUCAUUUUGAACCCUCUGUACUUCCUGUGUCUGGUUACCUCUUUCCUUCUUUAGAUUUGGGAAGUUUUCCAUAAUUUUGAAAUAAAUCUUUUGACCCCCUUUUUUUCUUUUUUCUCAUUCUGGGUCCCUUUUAUUGUCAUGCUUUACACACAUACACACACACACACACACACACACACACACACACCCCUUCCAUUUGGCUUCCCUUUUAUUGUCAUGCUUUACACACACACACACACACACACACACACCCCUUCCAUUUGGCUUUCUGUCUGCUGUCAUGAUUGGGUGAUUUCUAUUACUCUGUCUUCCAGAUCACUUACGCAUUCCUCUGCUGUUCAUUGCUUGCUUUCGGAUGAGCUUUCAUUCUUUAUGAAUUAGUUUUCUAAUUUUUCAUGGCGCCAUUUAUAUUUUCUAGUCCCUUUUUACAGCAAUCUGCAUUUCUAUCAAUAGCUAUUCUUAAUUCCUUCAGUAAUUUCAUUAUCUUCUUUUUGAACUUUGGUCUGUUUUUUUGUUCUUUCACAGGACUUCUCUUGAUCUUGUAAUUGGAUGUGAUCCUGCCACUUCUUUGUUUUACUAUUACUCUAUGAGUUUAGGAGAAACAGUUACUCAUUGUGACCUUGAAGGGCUUUUUGUAUUUGGAAACAUCCCUGUGUAACCUGUGUGGAUUUGAUAUUUUUGGUGCAGGAACUGUUUUAGUUUGAACACCUGCUUCUUUCCUCUAUGUGUGCUGCCCAUUAUGCCCUUGAUUAGAGGAUGUGGCUGCUGUUGUGGUGACCAGAAAGCCCACACUGGUUUUUGAGCAGGGCCUCUUGCUCUCUGGUGGUCACCACCCUAUCAGGGGACAGGGCCUGCUCCCUAGCUGUUUGAGUAGAAGCCCCCAGAUGUGUUUCUGAGCUGUGGUGUUAUGUAGAUUUAACUAGGUUGCUGCCAUUGGGAGGCAAUCCACUCAUUAUUCUGGGGAAUGCACUCUAUACUGUCACCUAAAACCUGUUAUGUGGGGUCAUGAAGUACACUAUUGUUGGCACUGCCAUUGAACACCUCCACUGUGGGAAUGUAGGCAGUCAACCCUGGUAUUCCUCAGGUACUGUGUUCACAAUACCACCAAAGCAGAUAUACCAGCUCAAACUGACUGGUCAGGUACAAGAACUGUAGUAGUCACACACCUGGAUUUACCAUGGGAGCUAUGAAAACAGCCCAGAUGCCAGCUCACUCUCCAGGUGCACAUGUCUCAAGGCCCACAGCUUCUAUGGAUGGAUCUGUCCCCAGCCACUGGAGCACCUAUUGUCCCUUUCGCAGAGGCUGUAGAGGCAGUGCCAAGAAAGGCUGCUGUGGAAGGCCCUUCCCCUUCCUUUUCCCACACUUUAGCAAAGAAGCUUUGCUUGUAUGGCAGCACUGGUUGAAGCCUGUACCACACUCCAGCCUCUUAGACUGUUUUCACAUAGCUAACCCCAGUUCUCUGCUAGGAUCUGUCCUCUCAAAGCCUCAAUUUUAGCACCAAGACCCCAUAUAUACCAAAAGGCACCAUCUUGGGCAGGAGAGCACAGUGAGGUAGCAGUGAUCUUCUUCACUGGUCUCUUCUGCCUGCCAUAUGUGUGCACUCUGAGUCUCAGACCCCAUUUCUGUCCCAGCUGUUCUGCCCCACUAAUAAGGGGACUUCCCAGGGUGUGGGACCAUUUCCCUUUUCACAGUUCCUUUCCAGGAGUGCAGGUCCUAUCCCACUUCUUUUUUGUUUUUUUCCCUUGUUCCACUUGGUUAUGUGGCAAUCUUUCUUGCUUGGGUUUCUGUGGUCUUCUCCUAGUUAAGUGUUCUGUGAGAAGCAUCCCACAUGUAAUGUGUUUUUGAUGUAUUUGUGGAAAGAAGUGAGCUUUGCAUCCUUCUAUUCCACCAUCUUGUUACUUGAUUAUGAUCAUCCUGAUAAUCUUUUAUAGUUUAAUGAAGGAAUUUUCCUAUGAUGCUGUAUUCUAUUUUAAGUUUUCUACUUUUCGUGACUUGUUUUCUUUUUGGUAGAAAUAAUGAGUCCUUAAUCUGGUAACACCAACAUAUAUGGUUUUCUUUUAACAUCUAUUUUAUUAUUGUAUCAUAAACCAUGUUUUGCUAUCUAAUUCAAUAACGCAGGCAUGCACAUGUCCUCAUCAUGCCUUAUAUUCAACGUCCACUUUUCUUUUUGUGAUGAAUAAACAUACUGCAGUAAUAAAUAAUUUAAAAGCAAACUGAAGCAUAUAGCAAUACAUAUGGCACUCAAAACACUAAUAACUGCCUUACUUCACAGCUUUGCAAAGGUACAGAGCAUCAUACACUAAAAUAACCACUCAGCUCUCCACAUGAAAAAGAAUGCAUAUGUCUGGAUUCCAGUGUAAUUUCAUCAUGUUUUCAUAUUACACAAAAGAUUUUCUCCCAACCACUUAAAAAUGGAAAAACAGGAGUUCUUGCUGUGACACAGGGUUAAUGAUCCAGCUUGUCCCUGGAGACACUCAUUCAAUUCCUGGCCCAAUACAGUGGGUUAUGGAUAUAACAUUGCUAUGGCUGUGGCAUGGGUUGCAGCUCUAGCUCACAUUUGACCCUUGCCCUGGGAACUUCCACAUGCUGCCAGUACAGGCAAAAAAGAAAACGUUAAAAACAGCUAACCUAGAGUUCCCAUCAUGGUGCAGUGGAAGUGAAACUGACUAGGAACCAUGAGGUUGUGGGUUUGAUCCCUGGCCUUGCUCAGUGGUUAGGGUAUUGCUGUGAGCUGUGGUGUAGUUCAUAGAUGUGACUCAGAUCUGGCGUUGCUGUAGCAUUGGCUGGUGACUACAGCUCCCAUUAGACCCCUAGCCUCGGAACCUCCAUAUGCCACAAUUGUGGGCCUAAAAAAGCAAAAAGUCCAAAAAAAACAAACCCAAAAAACAAAAACAGCGGAGUGGCUUUGGCCUUUGUCUGUUGGUCCCCUGGUCUGCUCUAACAAUAAUUAAAUCUAGCUGAACUUUUCUCAAAGGACUAAAUUCCCACUUUCUGCUUUGUGCUAUAUUGUCUUUUAGUGUCUUUUAUUAGGACCACUGGGCUAUUUUGGGUUUGAGAGUUUUGUAUUGGAACUUGGUCCUUCAUCUUUUUUUAUUAAUCAUACAUUUUUCUGUGCAUCUUUUUUAGAUGGUUAUUAUUACUUGCAAUUGAAAUAUAUAUUUUCCUUGCUGUUAGUAGUUGCUUCUCAAUUUUUCCCAUUCUCUAAAAAUGUCUGUCUUUUUAGCUUGUGUUUUAAACUGUGCCUUCUAUUUAUCCAUAUAUAGUAAAAGCUUAAAUCUGCCUCUGCAUUGUCUUCCAGUUUCUACAACUCUUUUUUCUCCAUCAUAACUUUGAUCAUGCUGUUUAUCCUCUUCUACUCAUGUCCUCUAUCCCAGCCCUGACCAUUCUGUUUCUUAUAUCACUUCCAAGAACACACUGUUACGUAAAUGAACCAAAAAUGUUCUUUGUGCUUUGACCCCUACUUUGUUUCUCCACUACAGUAGCUCAAAACCCUGCUCUAACAAUAAUUUGGCACCUGAGUCAAACUUAUAUACAUCUAGUUAGCUUUUAGAUUUAGCCAUAUAAAUUGUUCUGAUUUGCAGAUACUGCAAUACUGCAUUUGCUGGGUGGUAAAAAUAGAAAACUUGUGGUUAAAAAGUUCCUGGGCCGCGACUGACUUUUGAAACUUCCUGACCGAGAGAAUACCUGCAGAAUUGUGAACAAAAUCAUCUAAGCGUGGCUCCUUUGGAAUUAUAUCAGUCAGCAUUUAGAUGGUGGCUUCUGAGCCCUAAUUCUCAUGGUAUGAAGGUUGCUUAUUCUCAUCAAAUUGUAAGUGCCACCUAUUAAAGAGUGUAUUAC
rnacentral:lncRNA from 1 species